CAUUUUUUACUGAAAUUAUUUGUAAAUAACACCUGCUCAAUGAAUAUUUAAAUAGCCGCGGAAAUUUAACCGUGCUAAGGUAGCAUAAUCAUUAACCUUUUAAUUAAAGGCUAGUAUGAAUGGUGAAACAUUUCAAUCCCUUUAUUUUAUUAAUUUCUUUUAAUUUAAAUUAAGAAUAAAAAUGUUCUUAUUAAUUAAAUAGACGAUAAGACCCUAUUGAACUUUACUUUUGUUUUGCUGGGGCAGCAAAAAAAUUAUAAUCUUUUUUUAAAUAAUGAAAAUAAAAGACCUAAUACAAUUAAUUUUAUGAACAAGUUACCAUAGGGAUAACAGCGUAAUAUUUUUCUAAAGUUCUUAUUUAAAAAAUUGAUUGCGACCUCGAUGUUGAAUUAGUGUAACUUUAUAGGUGCAGUAAUUUUAAAAGUAGGUCUGUUCGACCUUUAAAACACUAC
rnacentral:rRNA from 1 species